CCGCCGGGUAGAGGCGAGGCACAGGGAGGAUACAGCGGGGAGCUCCAAGAGCACGGAGGGCGGUGCAGAUGGAGCUUCUUCCUUUAAAACCGGCUAAAAAGACAGCAGCCAAUUAUGCUAAUUCCACAUUAGGGCUGCAGAGCCGACAAGCGGCGAAUGGUGAACGUUAAGACCCUCCAGCCACACGCGCUGUUCUCCGGUGCACCGGGAACACCGACCCCAGCGCUCGCUUGGAGGAACCCCCAUUUUAAGCACAACGCCCUCCUGACUCAAGGACAAGAGGUACAGAAACUCAAACGGGGAUUCUGCCACUGACAGGAUUUCUUCAACAGGACUACAACCUGCACUGUAACCAUCUGUCUCUGCAGACUCAAGAAACUCUGGCAAUAGCUAAUCCACCAUCCACUAUUUUACAUAUGUGGAUAUUUAAGGAAUCAAAAGUGUGAGCACCAAGCAACCAACCAAUGCUCCCAGCACGUUUAAACGAGAGUGCUUAAUUUACUACGGUAAGGCCCUUUUUAAAUAAACGCGUGACUCACUGUUUGUUUUCUUCA